rnacentral:rRNA from 1 species
GAUGAACGCUGACAGAAUGCUUAACACAUGCAAGUCGAACGAGAACGGAUUAUAGCUUGCUAUAAUUGUCAGCUAAGUGGCGCACGGGUGAGUAAUGUAUAGGUAAUAUGCCUCUUACUAAGGGAUAACAAAUGGAAACGUUUGCUAAUACCUUAUACUCCUUAUUAACAGAAGUUAAUAAGGGAAAGAUUUAUUGGUAAGAGAUUAGCCUGUAUUGUAUCAGUUAGUUGGUGGGGUAAUGGCUUACCUAGACUAUGACACAUAACUGGUUUGAGAGGAUGAUCAGUCACACUGGAACUGAGACACGGUCCAGACUCCUACGGGAGGCAGCAGUGGGGAAUAUUGCACAAUGGACGAAAGUCUGAUGCAGCAACGCCGCGUGGAGGAUGACACAUUUCGGUGCGUAAACUCCUUUUAUAUGAGAAGAUAAUGACGGUAUUAUAUGAAUAAGCACCGGCUAACUCCGUGCCAGCAGCCGCAGUAA